rnacentral:rRNA from 1 species
AAGAAAUGACUCUCGGCAAUGGAUAUCUCGGCUCUUGCAUCGAUGAAGAACGUAGCGAAAUGCGAUACUUGGUGUGAAUUGCAGAAUCCCGUGAACCAUCGAGUCUUUGAACGCAAGUUGCGCCCGAAGCCAUUAGGCCGAGGGCAUGCCUGCCUGGGUGUCACA